rnacentral:rRNA from 1 species
AGUCGAACGAUGAAGCCCUUCGGGGUGGAUUAGUGGCGAACGGGUGAGUAACACGUGGGCAAUCUGCCCUUCACUCUGGGACAAGCCCUGGAAACGGGGUCUAAUACCGGAUACGACUGCGGGAGGCAUCUCCUGUGGUGGAAAGCUCCGGCGGUGAAGGAUGAGCCCGCGGCCUAUCAGCUUGUUGGUGGGGUAAUGGCCCACCAAGGCGACGACGGGUAGCCGGCCUGAGAGGGCGACCGGCCACACUGGGACUGAGACACGGCCCAGACUCCUACGGGAGGCAGCAGUGGGGAAUAUUGCACAAUGGGCGAAAGCCUGAUGCAGCGACGCCGCGUGAGGGAUGACGGCCUUCGGGUUGUAAACCUCUUUCAGCAGGGAAGAAGCGAAAGUGACGGUACCUGCAGAAGAAGCGCCGGCUAACUACGUGCCAGCAGCCGCGGUAAUACGUAGGGCGCAAGCGUUGUCCGGAAUUAUUGGGCGUAAAGAGCMUCGUAGGCGGCUUGUCACGUCGGAUGUGAAAGCCCGAGGCUUAACCUCGGGUCUGCAUUCGAUACGGGCUAGCUAGAGUGUGGUAGGGGAGAUCGGAAUUCCUGGUGUAGCGGUGAAAUGCGCAGAUAUCAGGAGGAACACCGGUGGCGAAGGCGGAUCUCUGGGCCAUUACUGACGCUGAGGAGCGAAAGCGUGGGGGAGCGAACAGGAUUAGAUACCCUGGUAGUCCACGCCGUAAACGUUGGGAACUAGGUGUUGGCGACAUUCCACGUCGUCGGUGCCGCAGCUAACGCAUUAAGUUCCCCGCCUGGGGAGUAC